rnacentral:rRNA from 1 species
AGCAGCCGCGGUAAUUCCAGCUCCAAUAGCGUAUAUUAAAGUUGUUGCAGUUAAAAAGCUCGUAGUUGAAUUUCGGGAUUUGUCGGUUGGUCGGGCUUCACUGUCCGCACUGGCCUGAUGGAUUCCUACCUUCUGAAUAACCAGCAUGCUAUUAAGUUAGUGCGUUGGGGAAGCAGAGCUAUUACCUUGAAAAAAUUAGAGUGCUUAAAGCAGGCUUGCGCUUGAAUAGAUUAGCAUGGAAUAAUAAAAUAGGACGGCAUGGUUCUAUUUUGUUGGUUUCUAGGAUCACCGUAAUGAUUAAUAGGGAUAGUUGGGGGCAUUAGUAUUCAAUUGUCAGAGGUGAAAUUCUUGGAUUUAUUGAAGACUAACUUCUGCGAAAGCAUUUGCCAAGGAUGUUUUCAUUAAUCAAGAACGAAAGUUAGGGGAUCGAAGACGAUCAGAUACCGUCGUAGUCUUAACCAUAAACUAUGCCGACUAGGGAUCGGACGAUGUUAAUUUUUUAAUGACUCG